UACGUAGGGGGCAAGCGUUGUCCGGAUUUAUUGGGCGUAAAGAGCGUGUAGGCGGCCUGACAGGUCUGCUGUGAAAACUCGAGGCUCAACCUCGAGAUGUCGGCGGAAACCGUCUGGCUAGAGUCCGGAAGAGGAGAGUGGAAUUCCUGGUGUAGAGGUGAAAUGCGUAGAUAUCGGGAGGAACACCAGUGGCGAAGGCGGCUUUCUGGUCUGCUCUUGACGCUGAGGCGCGAAAGCUAGGGUAGCAAACGGG
rnacentral:rRNA from 1 species